UGAUGUCCGAGACAUCCACAUAGUCUUUAACAAUAAUCAAAGUGCGGAAAAGAAAUGUAGAUACACACGGCCUACACAGGCAGCCGACUUGGGGUUUGCCGCUAACCCACGCCUAGAACUCAUCGUACUCUUGGAACUCCUGGAAGUCCUCCUCCACGACUUCAUCUUCACCUGAGCAGUGGUUGCAACGCGGACAACCUGGGGGGGGGUUGGUGUGUAAAGCAAGGGUGAAUACACAUCAACAUACUCAGCAAAAUGCCCCGUUUGGCUAUAGUGGACUAGUUUUUAUGUGGAGUUAAGUCAAGCAUUUGCUUUUAGUUGGUCAGGUUAUUAUUUACUAGUAGAAAGCUAGGUUUUAGUAUUAACCCAAGUUACUAACCCGAUGUAUCCUUUCCAAACGGAAAGAAUACCACUUACCAGUACCAUAGUCAUAACCAAAACCAUCAUCCUCGUCACCACCUAUAAACCAUACAUCUCUGAUCAAAGUAUCUCUAAUCAAUGGAGCUCCCUUGGCCGCUCAUAACCGCGAGCACGACUGAUUAUAUCAGUUUCAUAACACUCUGCAGAGGUUGCGCACUUUACCCACAAGUCGUGAUUCCCUCUUGCCUCGGGCCGAUCAAACCCUUAAACACUACCAAGGUGAAUAGACAGAGUCUCACUACGUAGCCUUUACAAAGAUUCCCUGGGGCUGUAGCCGCCCGUUAGGUUUCCUAAAUGCACCGAACUCCUCCCCAAGGGGCGAACCAACCUUGGCAGAGCGAACUGAUAGUCGCCUAGAGGGGGGGGGGGUGAAUAGGGCGAAACUGAAAUUUACAAAAAUAAUCACAACUACAAGCCGGGGUUAGCGUUAGUAAUAAUAAAUGAGUCCGCAAGAGAGGGCGCAAAACAAAUCGCAAGCAAAUAAGGAGAGUGACACGUGGAUUUGUUUUACCGAGGUUCGGUUCUUGCAAACCUACUCCCCGUUGAGGAGGCCACAAAGGCCGGGUCUCUUUCAACCCUUCCCUCUCUCAAACGGUCCCUCGGACCGAGUGAGCUUUCCUUCUUCUCAAUCAACCGGGAACAAAACUUCCCCGCAAGGGCCACCACACAAUCGGUGCCUCUUGCCUCGGUUACAAUUGAGUGUUGAUCACAAGAGCAAAAGAGAAAGAAAGAAUGCGAUCCAAGCGCAAGAGCUCAAAUGAACACGGCAAAUCACUCUCUCUAGUCACUAGGGUUUUGUGUGGAAUUGGAGAGGAUUUGAUCUCUUUGAAUGUGUCUAGAAUUGAAUGCCUAGCUCUUGUAAGUGGUUGAGAAGUGGAAAACUUGGAUGGCAAUGAAUGUGGGGUGGUUGGGGUAUUUAUAGCCCCAACCACCAAAAGUGACCGUUGGCUGGAGGCGUCUGCUCGAUGGCGCACCGGACAGUCCGGUGCACACCGGACAGUCCGGUGCCCCUGCCACGUCAUCACUGCCGUUGGAUUCUAGCCGUUGGAGCUUCUGACUUGUGGGCCCGCCUGGGUGUCCGGUGCACACCGGACAUGCACUGUUUGAUGUCCGGUGCACCGGUAUGGGCAGCCCUGACGUCUGUGCGCGCUGCGCGCGCAUUUAAUGCUGCGCAGAGAGCCGUUGGCGCCGCAGAGAGCCGUUGCUCCGCUGGCACACCGGACAGUCCGGUGCACACCGGACAGUCCGGUGAAUUAUAGCGGAGCGGCUGUCGCGCGAACCCGAGGCUGAUGAGUUCAGGAGGCCGAGCUUCCUUGGAGCACCGGACAUGUCCGGUGCACACCGGACAGUCCGGUGAAUUAUAGCGCGCCGACUUCCGAGAAUUCCCGAGAGUGAAGAGUUGGAGUCUGAGUCCCCUGGUGCACCGGACAGGUACUGUUCACUGUCCGGUGGCACACCGGACAGUCCGGUGCGCCAGACCAGGGGUGCCCUCGGUUGCCCCUUUGCUCCUUUAUUGAAUCCAAAACUUGGUCUUUUUAUUGGCUGAGUGUGAACCUUUUACACCUGUAUAAUCUAUACACUUGGGCAAACUAGUUAGUCCAAAGAUUUGUGUUGGGCAAUUCAACCACCAAAAUUAUAUAGGAACUAGGUGUAAGCCUAAUUCCCUUUCAAUCUCCCCCUUUUUGGUGAUUGAUGCCAACACAAACCAAAGCAAAUAUAGAAGUGCAUAAUUGAACUAGUUUGCAUAAUGUAAGUGUAAAGGUUGCUUGGAAUUGAGCCAAUAAAACUACUUACAAGAUAUGCAUGGAAUGUUUCUUUCUUAUAUAACAUUUUGGACCACGUUUGCACCACAUGUUUUGUUUUUGCAAAUACUUUUUGUAAAUCCAUUUCAAAGAUCUUUUGCAAAUAGUCAAAGGUAUAUGAAUAAGAGUUUGCAAAGCAUUUUCAAGAUUUGAAAUUGUCUCCCCCUAUUUCAAAUGCUUUUUCUUUGACUAAACAAAACUCCCCCUAAAAGAGAUCCACCUCUUAGUGUUCAAGAGGGUUUUGAUAUACAAUUUUUGAAAUACUACUUUCUCCCCCUUUUGAACACAAUAGGAUACCAAAUGAUAAAGACUUUUGGAAAGCACUAAGUUUUUGAAUUUGGUGGUGGUGGUGCGGUCCUUUUGCUUUGGGCUCAUUUCUCCCCCUUUUUGGCAUGAAUCGCCAAAAACGGAAUCAUUAGAGCCCUCGAAGUGUAAUCUUCCCCUUUGGUCAUAAAUAAGUGAGUUAAGAUUAUACCAAAGACGAAGUCCUUUUGCGUUUGAGCUUUUACUCUCUCCCCCAAGGAUGAAGUCCUUUUCCUUGAUGCUCAUUUCUCCCCCAAAGAAGAGAGAGUUGCUCGGAGUAGUGGCGAAGUAUGAGUUACGGAGUGGAAGCCUUUGUCUUCGCCGAAGACUCCAAUUCCCUUUCAAUAUACCUAUGACUUGGUUUGAAAUAAACUUGAAAACACAUUAGUCAUAGCAUAUAAAAGAGAUAUGAUCAAAGGUGUUCAAAUGAGCUAUGUGUGCAAGCUUAGCAAAAGAAAUUUCUAGAAUCAAGAAUAUUGAGCUCAUGCCUAAGUCUGGUAAAAGAUUGUUCAUCAAGUGGCUUGGUAAAGAUAUCGGCUAAUUGAUCUUUAGUAUUAAUGUAAGAAAUCUCGAUAUCCCCCUUUUGUUGGUGAUCCCUAAGAAAAUGAUACCGAAUGGCUAUGUGCUUAGUGCGGCUAUGCUCGACGGGAUUGUCGGCCAUUUUGAUUGCACUCUCAUUAUCACAUAGCAAAGGGACUUUGGUUAAUUUGUAACCGUAGUCCCGCAGGGUUUGCCUCAUCCAAAGCAAUUGCGCGCAACAAUGUCCUGCGGCAAUGUACUCGGCUUCGGCGGUGGAAAGAGCGACCGAAUUUUGCUUCUUUGAAGCCCAAGACACCAAGGAUCUUCCCAAGAACUGGCAAGUCCCCGAUGUGCUCUUCCUAUUGAUUUUGCACCCCGCCCAAUCGGCAUCCGAAUAACCAAGUAAAUCAAAUGUGGAUCCCCGAGGGUACCAAAGCCCAAACUUAGGUGUAUAAGCCAAAUAUCUCAAGAUUCGUUUUACGGCCGUAAGGUGUGAUUCCUUAGGGUCGGCUUGAAAUCUUGCACACAUGCAAACGGAAAGCAUAAUGUCCGGUCGAGAUGCACAUAAAUAAAGCAAUGAACCAAUCAUCGACCGGUAUACCUUUUGAUCCACGGACUUACUUCCCGUGUCGAGGUCGAGAUGCCCAUUAGUUCCCAUGGGUGUCUUGAUGGGUUUGGCAUCCUUCAUCCCAAACUUAGCAAGAAUGUCUUGAGUGUACUUCGUUUGGCUAAUGAAGGUGCCCUCUCGGAGUUGCUUGACUUGGAAUCCUAGAAAAUACUUCAACUCCCCCAUCAUCGACAUCUCGAAUUUCUGUGUCAUGAUCCUACUAAACUCUUCACAUGUAGACUCGUUAGUAGACCCAAAAAUAAUAUCAUCAACAUAAAUUUGGCAUACAAACAAGUCAUUUUCAAGAGUUUUAGUAAAGAGUGUAGGAUCGGCCUUGCCAACUUUGAAGCCAUUAGCAAUAAGGAAAUCUCUUAGGCAUUCAUACCAUGCUCUUGGGGCUUGCUUGAGCCCAUAAAGCGCCUUAGAGAGCCUAUAGACAUGGUUAGGGUACUCACUGUCUUCAAAGCCGGGAGGUUGCUCAACAUAGACCUCUUCCUUGAUUGGUCCGUUGAGGAAGGCACUUUUCACGUCCAUUUGAUAGAGCUUAAAGCCAUGGUAAGUAGCAUAGGCCAAUAAUAUGCGAAUUGACUCAAGCCUAGCUACGGGUGCAUAGGUUUCACCAAAAUCCAAACCUUCGACUUGUGAAUACCCUUUGGCCACGAGUCGAGCUUUGUUCCUUGUCACCACACCAUGCUCAUCUUGCUUGUUGCGGAAGACCCAUUUGGUUCCUACAACAUUUUGGUUAGGACGUGGAACUAAAUGCCAUACCUCGUUCCUCGUGAAAUUGUUGAGCUCCUCUUGCAUCGCCACCACCCAAUCCGAAUCUUGGAGAGCUUCCUCUAUCCUGUGUGGCUCAAUAGAGGAAACAAAAGAGUAAUGUUCACAAAAAUGAGCAACCCGAGAUCGAGUAGUUACCCCCUUAUGAAUGUCGCCGAGGAUGGUGUCGACGGGGUGAUCUCGUUGGAUUGCCUGGUGGACUCUUGGGUGUGGCGGUCUUGGUUCUUCCUCAUCCUCCUUUUCUUGAUCAUUUGUAUCUCCCCCUUGAUCAUUGCUAUCAUCUUGAGGUGGCCCGUCUUCUUGAUUUUGCUCUUCAUCAUUUUGAGCCUCAUCCUCAUUUUGAGUUGGUGGAGAUGCUUGUAUGGAGGAGGAUGGUUGAUCUUGUGUACUUGGAGGCUCUUCGGAUUCCUUAGGACACACAUCCCCGAUGGACAUGUUCCUUAGCGCGAUACAUGGAGCCUGUUCUUCACCUAUCUCAUCAAGAUCAACUUGCUCCACUUGAGAGCCGUUAGUUUCAUCAAACACAACGUCACAGGAGAUUUCAACUAGUCCAGUGGACUUGUUAAAGACCCUAUAUGCCCUUGUGUUUGAGUCAUAACCAAGUAAAAAGCCUUCUACAGUUUUAGGAGCAAAUUUUGAUUUUCUACCUCUUUUAAUAAGAAUGAAGCAUUUGCUACCAAAAACUCUAAAAUAUGAAAUAUUGGGCUUUUUACCGGUUAGGAGUUCAUAUGAUGUCUUCUUGAGGAUUCGGUGAAGAUAUAACCGGUUGAUGGCGUAGCAGGCGGUGUUGACCGCUUCGGCCCAAAACCGGUCCGGUGUCUUGUACUCAUCAAGCAUGGUUCUUGCCAUGUCCAAUAGAGUUCGAUUCUUCCUCUCCACUACACCAUUUUGUUGUGGCGUGUAGGGAGAAGAGAACUCAUGCUUGAUGCCCUCCUCCUCAAGGAAGCUUUCAAUUUGAGAGUUCUUGAACUCCGUCCCAUUGUCGCUUCUUAUUUUCUUGAUCCUUAAGCCGAACUCAUUUUGAGCCCGUCUCAAGAAUCCUUUUAAAGUCUCUUGGGUUUGAGAUUUUUCCUGUAAAAAGAAUACCCAAGUGAAGCGAGAAUAAUCAUCCACAAUAACUAGACAGUACUUACUCCCGCCGAUGCUUAUGUAAGCGAUCGGGCCGAAUAGAUCCAUGUGUAGGAGCUCCAGUGGCCUGUCAGUCGUCAUUAUGUUCUUGUGUGGAUGAUGAGUGCCAACUUGCUUCCCUGCUUGGCAUGCGCUACAAAUCCUGUCUUUCUCAAAAUGAACAUUGGUUAGUCCUAAAAUGUGCUCUCCCUUUAGAAGCUUAUGAAGAUUCUUCAUCCCAACAUGGGCUAGUCGGCGGUGCCAGAGCCAACCCAUGUUAGUCUUAGCAAUUAAACAUGUGUCGAGCUCAGCUCUAUCAAAAUCUACUAAGUAUAGCUGACCCUCUAACACACCCUUAAAUGCUAUUGAAUCAUCACUUCUUCUAAAGACAGUGACACCUAUAUCAGUAAAAAGACAGUUGUAGCCCAUUUGACAUAAUUGGGAAACAGAAAGCAAGUUGUAAUCUAAUGAAUCAACAAGAAAAACAUUGGAAAUGGAAUGGUCAGGUGAAAUAGCAAUUUUACCCAAACCUUUGACCAACCCUUGAUUUCCAUCCCCAAAUGUGAUAGCUCGUUGGGGGUCUUUGUUUUUCUCAUAUGAGGAGAACAUCCUUUUCUCCCCGGUCAUGUGGUUUGUGCACCCGCUGUCGAGUAUCCAACUUGAGCCUCCGGAUGCAUAAACCUACAAAACAAAUUUAGUUCUUGACUUUAGGUACCCAAACUGUUUUGGGUCCUUUGGCAUUAGAUACAAGAACUUUGGGUACCCAAACACAAGUCUUGGAGCCCUUGUGUUUGCCCCCAACAAAUUUGGCAACUACUUUGCCGGAUUUGCUAGUAAGCACAUAAGAUGCAUCAAGAGUUUUAAAUGAAAUGGCAUGAUCAUUUGAUGCAUUAGGAAUUUUCUUCUUAGGCAACUUGGCACGGGUUGGUUGCCUAGAACUAGAUGUCUCACCCUUAUACAUGAAAGCAUGGUUAGGGCCAGAGUGAGACUUCCUAGAAUGAAUCUUCCUAAUUUUGCUCUCAGGAUAGCCUGCAGGGUAUAAAAUGUAACCCUCGUUAUCCUGAGGCAUGGGAGCUUUGCCCUUAACAAAGUUAGACAAGUUCUUAGGAGGGGCAUUAAGUUUGACAUUGUCUCCCCUUUGGAAGCCAAUGCCAUCCUUGAUGCCAGGGCGUCUCCCAUUAUAAAGCAUGCUACGAGCAAAUUUAAAUUUCUCAUUUUCUAAGUUGUGCUCGGCAAUUUUAGCAUCUAGUUUAGCUAUAUGAUCAUUUUGUUUUUUAAUUAAGGCUAGGUGAUCAUGGAUAGCAUCAACAUUAAUAUCUCUACAUCUAGUGCAAAUAGAAACAUGCUCAACAUUAGAUGUAGAGGGUUUGCAAGAUUUAAGUUCUACAACCUUAGCAUGCAACAUUUCAUUCUUAGUUCUAAGGUCGGAAAUAGUAGCAUUGCAAACAUUAAAAUCUUUAGCCUUAGCAAUUAAAUUUUCAUUCUCUAAUCUAAGGCUAGCAAGAGAUGCAUUCAAUUCAUCAAUCUUAGCAAGCAAGUCAACGUUAUCAUCUCUAAGAUUGGUAAUUGAAACAUUACAAACAUGUGAAUCAACCUUAGCAUUUAAAGUAGCAUUUUCAUUUCUAAGGUUGUCAAUCAUCUCACGGCAAGUGCAUAGCUCACUAGACAGUUUUUCACAUUUUUCAACUUGUAGAGCGUAAGCAUUUUUAACCUUAACAUGUUUCUUAUUCUCCUUGAUUAGGAAGUCCUCUUGGGAGUCCAAGAGAUCAUCCUUUUCAUGGAUGGCACUAAUUAGUUCAUUUAAUUUUUCCUUUUGUUCCAUGUUAAGGUUAGCAAAAAGAAUGCGCAAGUUAUCCUCCUCAUUUUUAUCAUCAUCCUCAUCACUAGAUGUUUCAUAUUUAGUGGAGGACCUUGAUUUUACCUUCUUUUUGCCGUCCUUGGCCAUGAGACACUUGUGGCCGACGUUGGGGAAGAGAAGGCCUUUUGUGACGGCGAUGUGGGCGGCGUCCUCGUCGUCGGAGGAGUCGCUUGAGCUUUCGUCGGAGUCCCACUCCCGACAUACAUGGGCAUCGCCGCCCUUCUUCUUGUAAUACUUCUUCUUCUCCUUUCUUCUUCCCUUCUUGUCGUCGCCCCUGUCACUGUCACUAGACAUAGGACAUUUUGCAAUAAAGUGACCGGGCUUACCACACUUGUAGCAAACCUUCUUGGAACGAGGUUUGCAGUCCUUCCCCUUCCGUUGCUUGAGGAUUUGCCUAAAGCUUUUGAUGAUUAGGGCCAUCUCCUCAUUGUCGAGCUUGGAGGCGUCAAUUGGUUGUCUACUUGGUGUAGACUCCUCCUUCUUCUCCUCCGUUGCCUUAAAGGCCACCGGUUGCGCCUCGGAGGUGGAAGGCUCGUCAAGCUCGUUGAUCUUCUUGGAGCCCUUAAUCAUGCAUUCAAAACUCACAAAAUUCCCGAUAACUUCCUCGGGGGUCAUUAGUGGAUAUCUAGGAUUCCCACGAAUUAAUUGUACUUGAGUGGGGUUAAGGAAAAUAAGAGCUCUUAGAAUAACCUUAACCACUUCGUGGUCAUCCCAUUUUGUGCUCCCGAGGUUGCGCACUUGGUUCACCAAGGUCUUGAGCCGGUUGUACAUGUCUUGUGGCUCCUCCCCUUGGCGAAGACGGAAGCGACCGAGCUCCCCCUCGAUCGUUUCCCGUUUGGUGAUCUUAGUGAGUUCAUCACCCUCGUGCGCCGUCUUGAGUAGGUCCCAAAUCUCCUUGGCGUUCUUCAAUCCUUGUACUUUGUUGUAUUCCUCCUUGCUUAGGGAGGCAAGGAGGAUGGUUGCGGCUUGGGAGUUGAAGUGCUCGAUUUGGGCCACUUCGUCCGUGUCAUAGUCCUCAUCCCCUAUUGAUGGUACCUGUACACCAUACUCAACAACAUCCCAUAUUCUUUUGUGGAGAGAGGUUAGAUGAAAUCGCAUCAAAUUACUCCACAUAGCAUAAUCUUCACCAUUAAAAGUUGGUGGUUUGCCUAAUGGGACGGAAAGUAAAGGUGUAUGUUUAGGAAUGCGAGGGUAGCGUAGGGGAAUCUUACUAUACUUCUUGCGCUCUUGGCGCUUAGAAGUGACGGAGGGCGCAUCGGAGUCGGAGGUAGAAGUUGAUGAAGUAUCGGUCUCGUAAUAGACCACCUUCCUCAUCCUCUUGUGCUUAUCGCCUUUCCGAUGCGGCUUGUGGGAAGAAGAUUUUUCCUUCUUCUCUUUGUGGUGAGAAGAAGAUUUCUUCUCCUUCCCUUUGUUGGAGGAGCUCUUCUUCUUCUCCCUCCUUUUGGUGCGGGACUCUUCCGAUGAAGUGCUCCCGUAGCUUGUAGUGGGCUUUUCGCCGGUCUCCAUCUCCUUCUUGGCGUGAUCUCCCGACAUCACUUCGAGCGGUUAGGCUCUAAUGAAGCACCGGGCUCUGAUACCAAUUGAUAGUCGCCUAGAGGGGGGGGGUGAAUAGGGCGAAACUGAAAUUUACAAAAAUAAUCACAACUACAAGCCGGGGUUAGCGUUAGUAAUAAUAAAUGAGUCCGCAAGAGAGGGCGCAAAACAAAUCGCAAGCAAAUAAGGAGAGUGACACGUGGAUUUGUUUUACCGAGGUUCGGUUCUUGCAAACCUACUCCCCGUUGAGGAGGCCACAAAGGCCGGGUCUCUUUCAACCCUUCCCUCUCUCAAACGGUCCCUCGGACCGAGUGAGCUUUCCUUCUUCUCAAUCAACCGGGAACAAAACUUCCCCGCAAGGGCCACCACACAAUCGGUGCCUCUUGCCUCGGUUACAAUUGAGUGUUGAUCACAAGAGCAAAAGAGAAAGAAAGAAUGCGAUCCAAGCGCAAGAGCUCAAAUGAACACGGCAAAUCACUCUCUCUAGUCACUAGGGUUUUGUGUGGAAUUGGAGAGGAUUUGAUCUCUUUGAAUGUGUCUAGAAUUGAAUGCCUAGCUCUUGUAAGUGGUUGAGAAGUGGAAAACUUGGAUGGCAAUGAAUGUGGGGUGGUUGGGGUAUUUAUAGCCCCAACCACCAAAAGUGACCGUUGGCUGGAGGCGUCUGCUCGAUGGCGCACCGGACAGUCCGGUGCACACCGGACAGUCCGGUGCCCCUGCCACGUCAUCACUGCCGUUGGAUUCUAGCCGUUGGAGCUUCUGACUUGUGGGCCCGCCUGGGUGUCCGGUGCACACCGGACAUGCACUGUUUGAUGUCCGGUGCACCGGUAUGGGCAGCCCUGACGUCUGUGCGCGCUGCGCGCGCAUUUAAUGCUGCGCAGAGAGCCGUUGGCGCCGCAGAGAGCCGUUGCUCCGCUGGCACACCGGACAGUCCGGUGCACACCGGACAGUCCGGUGAAUUAUAGCGGAGCGGCUGUCGCGCGAACCCGAGGCUGAUGAGUUCAGGAGGCCGAGCUUCCUUGGAGCACCGGACAUGUCCGGUGAAUUAUAGCGCGCCGACUUCCGAGAAUUCCCGAGAGUGAAGAGUUGGAGUCUGAGUCCCCUGGUGCACCGGACAGGUACUGUUCACUGUCCGGUGGCACACCGGACAGUCCGGUGCGCCAGACCAGGGGUGCCCUCGGUUGCCCCUUUGCUCCUUUAUUGAAUCCAAAACUUGGUCUUUUUAUUGGCUGAGUGUGAACCUUUUACACCUGUAUAAUCUAUACACUUGGGCAAACUAGUUAGUCCAAAGAUUUGUGUUGGGCAAUUCAACCACCAAAAUUAUAUAGGAACUAGGUGUAAGCCUAAUUCCCUUUCACGAACCGCAUACACUGAGCCCCAUUAACGGCACGACGGCGAAGCGAACUGCACCCCAGUUCCUCUAAUUACUCAGCUAAGGGCGUCCCACUCCACCCUCAUAGUUGCACUGUUUUCCCGGGCGGUCAUCCAACGAACAGGUCCUUACGGAGAGACACUCGAGAAACAGCUCGAGUCCCCUUAAUGGCUACAAGUACCAUCAUCAUAAUCAAAAGGGAAAACAACGUAUCAUAGAUAAUCUCAUCAUGUUCAUUGAUUAAUGUGAAGCGCUAGCAUAAAGCUAAACUGAAAUAACCCAACCAGAAUAGGUAAAUAAAGACAAGAUAGACAAAAGCUAGUCAAUCCUUAGGUAUAAACUGUGUAAAUGCGGGGAAUGAAUUAUAAGAAUUAGUAGGACAUAGAUGGGUCAAGGGACACUUGCCUUCACCAACCGACCGCUGCUCAGGGUCUUCACCUGCAACUCCUUUGGACUCCACCAACUGACCGUUAUCUAUACGAGUUUAAACAUACAUUCCACACAUUUAAUACAAAAGAACAGUACACCAUACAAUGGAAUGCAAUAAAUAAACAUACGUUCGACGCAGGGCUCACACCUACGACUAAGCGAGAAAGAGAAAGUAACGGUCGAGGCUACGGUCGAAGAGCGAUCACGUUAGAUGAUUAUAAAUUAAAAUACUCGUCGAAACAUAAUGGUAUUAAUUUAGCCAUCGUGUUUAGCAUAAGGUAAAGUCAUGUUCCAGGUUUAACCAUUAUAAGCAGAUAAAGGUGAAUUAAAGGAAAUGGUUGCGCGGCGAGACGCACGACACAACAUUUAAAUUGAAUUAAGAAAUAAACGACUCGUCGUGCAACGGGGCGCGCAACGAGACUCUUGCAUUAAUUAUAAAUAAACGUUAAGCGUCGCACGACGAAACGCACGACGGCAUACGUCAUCCAAACUGAAUUUAGAAUGGAACGUCCCGUGACUAGGCGCGCGACGUCAUACAUUAAACAACCUGAAAUUAAAUUGGACCGUCGAGCGACGAAGCGCACGACGCAACACAUUAAUAGAAUCUGAAAUUAAACAAAUUCGUCGCGCGAUGAAGCGCGCGACGUAACACGCUAACUAAACAGAGUUUAAAAUUAAUUAAAAACCAAAAAUAAAUCACCGCGCGCGUGGGGCUGCCCACGUGGGAACGCAUUGGGUAAACGGGGGAGCGCGAGGCCGCGCAGGCCGCGUCGAGGCCACGUGAGCCACGCUGGGGGUCCACGUUGCCGAAGGCAGGGGCCGCGCACCGGGGCCGGGACGGUCGCGCGCAGGGGGCCGAGGCUGCCGCGGGGGAGGGCGGGGGCCACGCCGCGGGGAGGGGCGGGGGCCGCACCACAGGGAGGACCGGGGCCGCGCCGUCGGGGCCGAGGCCGCGCAGGGGGGGUGCGCACAGGGGGAAAACAGGGGAGCGCGCAGGGGAAGAAAGGGGAGGGGGAGAGGAAGAGAGAGAGAGGGAGAGGGGAGCUCACCUCGGGGAUCCAAAUUCCGGCGAUCACUAUCUCCAAAACCUAGGGCACCACGGAGAGAGAGAGAGAGAGAGAGAGAGAGAGAGAGAGAGAUGGGAGAGAGAGGGAGGUUGCUGCACGGGAGAAUUGAAUGAGGGGAAGGGACCUGGGAGGGGGCGCACAUAGGGGAGGGCACGGCGCCAGGGGCGCGCGGGCCGAGCUGGGCCGCGCUGUGUCGGGCUGGGCUGGGCCGCACCGCGGGUCAAAACCCCGUGGCACGCACAACCACAGAUCGGAAUCCAAACGCGAAAUGGAAAUCACAACGAGACGAGACGAACACACGAUUAAACACUACAUCAGACAAAGAAAUAUGCUUCGGCAUGAUACAACACCCAUGACACUUAGGUUUUGUUUACACACGAUAUGGACACCAGUCACUACACUGCUUUGAAAUUGGGAAGAAGGAGCGAAACGAGAAAAGAAAAGAGAGUGACGUCUGAAUUUGAUGAGUAAAAAGAAGAAAAAAUUCUACCCCCAAAUUUAGGGUGUUACAGGGUGCUAAGCCUUUUGUUUAAGAUGAGUAAGGGCUCCUUUUUUUCAGGGAAUAAGAAUAAUCCAAAAGUCGCUAGAUUAGGAAAGCAUAGGAUCAAAGUCUUGAACGGACUCAUUCACUGCCUUAGAAUAUGCCCACACUGCGCGCCCUUGACAGUUUGCAUCAGUGUACAUCUUUUCUCCAUUACCCCCACACAAACCAGAUUUGCCUUUUGAAGCACUAGAAAAGCCAAGCAAAACUCCAAAGUGCUCGGGCCUGUGAAAGCUGAAUGAGGGUAGCCUCUCAAUUCCUUGAUAUUAGUAGGAAACAACAUCCCCAAUGUCUUUUGUUUUGGUGGCAUACUUCUGUUUCCAUAUUGUCGGGGCAACAAUAUAAAUAAUCAUUUGGCCCACCCCCAAAGAUGGUUGUCCCCGAAGGGUACCCAAGUUGUUCGGCGAAGCCAAUAGCCUUGGCCAGUUGCUUUGUGCCCAUCAUUUUCCCUACAACGUGAUGAACCUGGUAUCUUCGGCCACCUAAGUCUUGGUCGAAGGGUCCUUCACCAAGUGGUGUAUCAUCUUUGAUCGCUUUCUCGACCACUUCAAAUUUAGCAGAACCUUUUCCUUUGUCUUCCGCCAGGGUAGGCUUGGAGGAACCUUCGGCUACCAUAAUUGCUGAAGGGGUCACCACUACAGUAAUCCAUUCAAAUCCUAGAUUACUUGGACCAGUCCUAUCUGUAGCAGGAAGCAUAGAGUCCUUCAACGCUAGUGUUGUACCAGCAAUAUCUUUCUUAGCUUCAUCUUCGUCAGCUUCGAAGAAUGAACUCAUUACUCGAGCUAUUCGCUCCCCUUCAACUUCUUCCUCGCUCUCUGAAAGUGGCUGUAAAGGCUUAACCCUUUGUGCUAUCAAGGCGAUAACCUCUCUAAUUUUUGCCUCUUCGACUCCCAUAGGAGGGAGUUCUUCAAUCUCAACUGCUACCUUGGCUUCGGGUGCUGCCAAAAAUAUUCAAAACAGAAAAGUAAUAAAAUAAAUUUAUAACCACUAUACCAAAAAACCUAUUUACUAGAUUUCCUUUGAGGCUUGAGGAGUUGAUUUAGCUUGCACCUUUGGAACUUUGCUCAACCUUGUAUUUACUUUCUUCUUUCUCUUCUUGGAAUCCUGAACGUCAGGAUAAAAGAACCUGAUGGCAUCAAAUACACAAUUCAAUCGACGCCUCUUUCAAGCCCCGAAGGCCCGUUGUAAAGCUUCAGCUUUGGGCUUGCUAUAAUUACCAAUCUCAUUACAUCUCACUUAAACAUAAUCUAGCCACCCAUCACUACGCUCUCCAAACUCAUCUUCGGAUCUAUAUUUGUAACGAAGCCUAACCAGCCCAACCUCGGCGUCUAAAGCAUCUCCUUCAUACAUCUUUGGCAUUUCCCACUCAGUCGCUAGUGGCCAUGUCUUAAAAGCUAAGAAUUAUUGAACAAGGUCCCUCGUUCCAAUAUGUGUGUUAACAACAUUAAAAGCAACUAUGGAAGCCCGGGUUUCGAAGUUGAUAUAACACGUCGGCUUUUUAUAACCAAAACAUGUAACAAUAGGAGUUUGAAUAAUGCCUCUUAUAUCAGCUCGUGCAGUCAAAUCAUUCUUCAUAUAAAACCACUUCUUCGCCCAUUCAUUCGGCCACUUGCUUCGGUAAGCAAGAGCCAGAAACAUCAAGCCCGUUCGAUAAGCAAAAUUAUAGCAACCAAAGUUGUUAUGAAGGCCCCUAGUCGUCUUCGUCUGAAAAUGGAGCUCAUGAAUUUGACUGAAGGCUUCACAGAAAGCUUUGGCAUCAUGCUCAAUCCCUUGACUCCGAACAACCCAAAUGAAAAUUUCUAGACACACUAUAGCAUUUGGGGUGAGCUGAUGAAGAUAAAUGUUAAAUCUUUUUAACACCGUGACUAUUGUCUUAUGCAGAGGGAAUCUAAGGCCAGCCUUCAAAAAGCUCUGAAACACAACAACUUCGUCUUCUCUUGGAUUUAGUACUAACUCAUCACCUCCUAAUUGCACCCACUCGACAUUGUCAACAUAACAGAAACAAUUAAGUACUCUAUGUGUCCUCCUUUGAUCUUGGACUUGCCAAAGUCCACAUGGCUUGGCUUCAUGGGACGUAUGAUCGUGUUUUCCUCAAUAUCAACGGUGUCACUGUCUUGCGAUAGAUUCGUAGAGCCGGCCUCGACCCGGGUGGCGAUAGCUCUCGCUGCUAAAGCAAGUUCUUUAGCCCUUGUCUCUGGCACAUUGGACGAAGGUGUCAAUGACAUCUUAGCAGCACACAAAUCUAAAAGCAAGUGAUCUCCAAAUUUGCUAAGGCUGGUUCAAAAGUGGCAAAGAUGUUCGAAGCUAGCUUCGAAGGUGGAGUAGGCACUGGCAGCAGUGAAUGAAAACAACAAAAGUUGUGCCCAUAACGAUGGGUGCCACUCUCUUUUAUACGCACAACCGUUUGGCUCUAACUGUUGAAGUCAAUGACCACUAGGUCCCACUAUUUAAAGCUGUCACUUCAUAACAAGCUUCGGGAAUGUGUUUUCGGACCUUCGGCACAAGGCCUCCUAGUUAAAAACUUUGCGAUCUAAGAUCGUUAUGAAACAACAAAGUCAUCCCACAAGGGGCUACUGUUGGGGGCCUACAUCUGAAUAUUUGUAUUACAUAAUUGUGUAUCAAGAGUACAAUAAAAGGCAUGCCGAAGAUCAAUUGUUUACGAAGAAACGAUCAUCUGUCUAACAUAUAACUUUGGCGUGAAUUAGUGUAUUUCAGGAACAUUUCCACUUGCAGACGAAGCUAACCUUCGAUUUAAAGCAGUGAACAAGGACAAUUCGUUUAUGUGCAAGUAACAAAGACGAUGGCCGGAGGCGAUAACUUCGGGCACGAACCGAAGAUGGCAUUACUGAACAACAAAGGUUGAGACCCGCAAAGCCGAAGACAGAGAAAAUAUGUUAUUGUCCUUGUUGGGGGCCUUCGUCCUCCGAAGGUCCUCAAAAACAUGAUUUGACAAUGCUUUCCAAGUGAAUUAUAUGAACAGGUAUUUUCGGAUUCAGAAUUAUGGAUAUGGAGCACGACCAGGACGAAGGCUGAGCCAGGCGAAGGUCGAAGGCAGCCGAAGCUGUACGCAGGGAAGCUUCGGCGCGAUAGCACAAGGGGGAACCGACUUAAAGAUAAAAAGACUUCGGGGUCCUCAAUAGAUUUCUAUAAACCGUUAACAAAUGUAAUGGACAUGGAUGUAAUUUUACGAGGGCUGCGUCCCGCGUCUAUAAAUAGAUGAACAGUACUCCCGUACUGUUCACGCGGACUUGUCAUUUUGCUUUUGGUGUCACGCUUGUACUCUCCACCUUCUCUCAGGACCGAAGGUACAUUUGUAAUUUGAGAUCAUUUCUGUUUUUCCAUGUUAAUAAAAUAGAAAUGAUUCUUUGGUGAUGCUUAUAUCAUAUUUCAUGCUUUAUGUGAGUCCUUCGUCAUUACUUGCCAUGUUUACGAAGGUAUGUCCCUCAUGACCUUCGUCCGAGACUCAUUAUUUCCCGAGGGGAUAUAAUGCUUCGAAGGACGAAGGACCCUAACAUUUAACACUUUUUAUGUUGCCUUGUUCUUAACUCUAAGAAUUUGAGAACAAGUCUCCAACAUUGGCGCCCACCUCCGGUGAACUCACUUCCACUUCAAGUCUUCGUGAACACCUUCGGAAGCUAUAGACCUUCGCUAUGGCGCCGAAGAAAGCUUCAGCGGCUGGGGCUGCAGCAUUACAACCGCUGGACCACAACCAGGAGACCGUCUCUCUUCGGGAGGCCAGAAGCCAGAAGAGAAAAGCUGUUAGCCCGACGCUUGAGGAACAAGAGCUGGACCAAGAAAUCAGAGAGAUGGAGAUGCUACAUCAACAAGUGCAGAGGAAGAAGGAGAAGAUGGCCCGCCUAGCUGAGUUGCAAAGGCAAAUUGACGAAGCUUCUGAGGAAGUUCGCCAUCUCACUCACGAUGAACAGAACAGAAGGCCUCAGCAGAAAGACCUUCAUCAGGAGGGCUUCGUCAACGAAGACGACUGGUAUGAUAAUUUCCGUCAGGGAAAUUUUGUUUUUGAUGAUGCUUCUCCUCUGUCUGCUGAGCUGCAGGCUACUCCUUGGCCUCCAUCUUAUAAGCCACCCCAGCUCCCCAUGUUUGACGGCCACUCCGACCCGAAGCAAUUCUUGAUGAGCUACGAAGCAACAGUGUCUUCGUACGGGGGCAACGCUGCAGUCAUGGCGAAGUCUUUCGUCAUGGCCGUCAGGAAUGUUGCUCAGACCUGGUAUUCCUCCCUUCGGCCAGGAACGAUCACUUCAUGGCAGAAGCUGAAGGAUAUGUUACUGACCAGCUUUCAAGGAUUUCAAACGAAGCCGGUUACAGCUCAAGCCCUCUUCCAGUGUAUUCAGGAUCACGAAGAAUACCUUCAGGCUUAUGUCCGAAGGUUCUUACGAUUGAGGGCGCAGGCACCAACGGUGCCCAAUGAAAUCGUUGUCGAAGCCAUGAUCAAGGGGCUUCGUCCUGGACCUGCAGCUCAAUACUUUGCUCGGAAGCCUCCUCAGACCCUGGAGAAAUUGCUCCAAAAGAUGGAUGAGUACAUUCGUGCCGACAAUGACUUUCGCCAAAGAAGGGAGGAGGCCUUCAGAUUUUCUGAGAUGACCAGGGGCUUCGCAGGAAGAUACUACCCGAGGCAUGUCCGUUCCAUUCAUAGCGCUCAGAAUGAUGAUAAGGGGAGUCAGCAAAACAGGCCGCAGUGCUCCUCACAGGCUUCGGGGCAACAACAAACUUCCUUUCGGCCACCAGCCCCAAGAGGCAGAGGUGCCAGGGGCUUCGGCGGAAGAUUCGGAGAUCAGCCAAGGAGACUGUUUUGCCUAUUCUGUGGAGAGGGCAAGGGCCACACCACUAGGACGUGCCAUGUUACAAUUCAGAAGCAAAAGGAACUAGCCGAAGCUGCAUCUCAACAAGCUCAGUCAAAGCAGGUUUUGCAUACUGCUUCGUUUCAUCCGCCUUAUGUCCCACAAUACAUAGACAACCACCCUGCGGCUUCUGUAGCUUCGGCAAGUCAACCUCAAGCUUCCUGGCAGCAGCCUCCGCCUCCACCUCCAUUGCAGCAAGGUCAACAGCCAGAAGGGAGUCAAUACGCUCCACAGCAGAGGGACUUCAGAGAACAGUCCGAAGCUCGCACAGUCAACAGCACUGUGCCAGAGUCGAAGCACAUUUAUUGACAUAUCCUACCUUUGAUAGCAGUCUUUUCUAUUCAGUUUUAUUUUCUGUGAAGCAAAAAACAUUGAUAGUUUCCAUAUAAUAAUUUCGUUGUUUCCACGAGAAAAAUUUAUUUGAUCCACAGGCCUAAGUUGCCGAAGCUUAAAAUUUCUUCCGUUACCAAGAAACACCUUCGGACUAAAAAUCCUUCGGAGUAACAAGAAGUCGUUCUAAGGAACGCAGAGUAAGUUUAUAAAGUCACAAAAAGUCGUUCCAAAGGGAGCGCAGCGUAAGUUUUCUGCUCAGAAGUCGUUCCUAAAGGAAUGCAGAGCCUACAGCGAAAAGUCAACGCUGAUACCGUCUAAGUAAAAGACGAAGAAGCUCCUAAGGGAGGCUUACAGCGAAAAGUCAACGCUGAUGCCGUCUAAGUAAAAGACGAAGAAGCUCCAAAGACGUUCCUAAGGGAAUGCAGAGCUUAUGAAUAUAUUUUAUGUGUAUCUUCGGAACAAAUGUCACAUGCAUAACAUAACAUCAUCACAUCAUUUUGCAUAGCAUAAGCAUCAUACAUCAUAUCGCAUUUGGUAAGAGAAGGGGAUACUCUAAACCUUCGAAGGGAUGCUUUGAAAAAGUAACAUUGAAAUUGUAUAGCUUCGGAAUACAGUUUCGGGGAACAUUUUCACGAAACAUGGGCAAGCUUCAUCAGAUCAAUAUCAAAGCUGCAUAGCUUCGGAAAAUAGCUUCGGAAAAUGUUUUCACGAGGCAUCGAUGUCAUUCAUCAGAAUAAUUUGGACGAAGGCUAUCCUCUUCACGACGCAUGAAAAGAAGGGAAGGUGUUUUUUCGCCGAAGGCUCAAAAGUGGUAUGUAUUUAAAGUUUCAUGCAUCGUAAAGAAUUCAAUAAUGAAAAGAGACUUGUAUAUUACAUUCAAAUCUACAAAAUGUUACAUAGAUUACACUUUAAAUGUUUUUUCCAAAUAAGCACCUAUUCUUCCCUCAAUAUUGCUUCGGCGGCUUUAUUCAGAAGUUGGUCAACGACCUUGUCCAUGAUAGUUUCGGCCAUCUGAUUAAUUUCUUCAUCCCCUUUUGUGUGGGGAGAUCGUCCAACAGCUUCUGAGCGUAGAGAACACUUCUUCAGUACUUUUACAAAUCGCGAGCAAAGUUUAAAAUGAAAAUUACAGCGCAACAAGAACGACUAGUUGGUACCUAAUUGUCUUUCGGGCUCCCUACUCUUUUCAGCAGUCUCUGCCACUUUCCUAGCUUCAUGGAUGCCUUUUUCGCUCCUUUCGAUAAUUUCUUGUGCCAUUCCCCGACCGCCGUCGUUCCAGAUAUCAGUAAAAAAUUUGCCAGCAACCACACUUGCUUCGGCCGAGGGGUCCUUGAUAUCUUCGGAGCGUAAGGUAGCUUCGGACUGAGCUAAAAGCUUUACGUGCCCACAACCCUUCUUCUCUAAUACAGAAGUAAUUCCUCUAGCGCCUGAAAAAGCGCAUAUGUCGCCGCGGCUGUUUAGAAUUUCUUCGAAGGCCUCUGCUUCGUGGCUAAUCCAUUCCAGCGGAUCUUCGGGAUUGCCUCGAGAAAAAUUCUCCUCGCUGGAAAUGGCGCCGACGCUAGCAAAGCUGUUUUUAAUUUUAUUCACGCAUUCUAUAGAUUUAACAUAGCAUUUCCUCUGCGAUGUGCGAAGCUCCUUAACUCUUGAUUCCAAUUUAUUGACCAUAAGAUCACUAAGUUCACGAUUCGUUUCCUCAAGCGCGCGCUCCUCUUUAGCUCUAGCCAGUUGUUUCCGAAGAUCUUCAAUCUCGCGUUUUUGAGCUUCGGAUUGGGCCUUUGAAGCGGCUUCGUCUUUUUUCACCUUAUCCACCAAUGUAAGCAGAAUUUUAUCUUUUUCCAAAGCUUCAUUUCUCAGCUUGAUAACUUCGGAGCGUAAAUUAUUAAACGCAAUUUCAUAACUUUCAUCUUCGGCGCUCUUCUGCGCUCUCAGCGCGUUGCUUAGGAUCAGGCCCUAUACGAAAAAGAGUUCAAAUAAGGAAAAAGGAAUGAUGUGCGUAAAAAUAAUAAGGGGGUUUUUUCAAGCGUUUAAUUCCGGUACCUUCAAGCUGUUGUACGCAAGGCUGUCUGCGAGAUCCUCUUUUGUCAUGGCACUUAACCCAGCUUCAAGCUUCGGAAAGCCUAUGCUUCUCGCCAUCUCUCGACAGACAGAUAGUUCCUUAUUAUCCGGUAGGCAGUAUAAGAAGUCAUCUUCAUUUGUCCCAUUGAAUAUUACUGCCCCCUUCGGAUAUUUCAGCUCCUUUGCAUAAUGGUUGGCCUCAUAAGCUUCUUCUUCAGAUAGCUUUUUCCCCGAAGCAUGUCGUAUGAUGUAAUCAUGCAUGCCGGCAGGUGCUUCGGGGAUGACGGUGCCCGUUUCUUCAACUAAUAUUGGUUCCGGAAUUUUUACUGCUCCGGCUUCAAAAGGUUGUUCUUUGAAGGGCUCUGAAGGCCCAGCUUCAGCUUCAGCUUGUUGAGCCGAAGCUUCAGUAGAACCUUCAGCAACAUCAACACUCUUUUUUGAAAUUGUACUUGAAGACUUAAUCGUCUCCAAGACGUCUAGUACAUUUACCAUUCUUUUCCUUUUUGGGGUCACUAAUGGCCCCUUUUGGUGUUUUGCUGUCCCAACGAUUGCUGUAGGACUCAAAACUUCUAAUGUUUUGGAGCCCUCAGUUGCUUCUCUUACUUCCUCAAUUUUUUCUGUAAGCGGCGCUUCGGUUUUCUCUUUUGUUUCUGACAACAAAAUGUUUGAUUGUUCUAAUUCAAUCUUUGGUGGCACUUCGGCCGUUUCUGCGAUCUCUGGCAACAAGGCUGACUUGAUUAGUUUUUCAGCUUCGGUGGCUGAAGAAGUUUUCCCGGUAAACUCCGGCACCGAAGCUGGUUCAAUAUGGCGUGGUCGAUGUGUGAAGACCUUCAACCUUUUUCCUUUUGAUUCUGGCUCGCUAGGAGCGGUUCCAGCUUCUUCCUUUUCAGAGAUUAUAUUUUUCCUUUUUUGCCUUCGGAUGGGAUAACAAUAAUCAGGGUAGAAGAACCCGAUUGCAUCAAACACUCGGUUCAGUCUCUUCUUCUUUCGGCCUCCGAAGGCUGCUGAUAGUGCAGUAUUUUCAGCCUUCGAGUAUGCCCCAAGUAAUUCAUCACUUAAUGUUUCAAUGCUUUUCAGCCAGUCAUCAUCAGGUUCAAUAAAUUUAUCUGCAUAUUUGAAUGUGUAUUUUAAUCUGACUAGUCCGCCUUCGUCGGACUCUUUGAUGGUUUCUUUCGGCAUUUCCCACUUUUCUGCAAGUGGCCAUACCCUGAAGGCAAUGUGCUCCUGGACCAAGUCCCUUGUCCCAAUGAAGGAGCAGACUGCGCCGAAGGCUCUUUGGCAUUCUUCGGCUGCCUCAUCCAUUUCAACCUUCGGCCUUCGAAGUCCGAAGCGUUGCCAAAUUGGGUACAUAAUGAUACUUUUGACAUUAUUUUGCGCUGUUAGAUCAUUUUUCACAUAAAACCAUUCAGACAUCCAGGCUCCGGGCCACCUCUUCCGAAAGGUUGGCACAGGGUAGCUUGACCCGGAGCGGGCGCCGAAGCUGUAGCACCCAAAGUUGUUGUGGUAUUGCUCCUUUCCCCAGGGCUUUGUCUCAUACAAUAACUCAUGUAUGUUGCAGAAGCUUUUAGCGUUUGGCUCCAAACCUUGGCUUCUCACAGCCCAGACAAAAAUCCCCAUUCUUAUAAUAGCUUCGGGAGUGAGUUGAUGAGGGUAGAUUUGGAAUGUUUUCAGUACCUCAACAACAAAAUUGCUCAGGGGGAAUCGAAGCCCAGCCUUGAGGAAGCUUCGGAAAAUCACAACUUCAUCCUCUUCAGGGGUGGGAGAAGUCUUUUCCCCGGCAUCAGCUCUCACAAUAGAUAUAUCUCGGAAGUAUCGCCCCCUCAUAUUAUCAAUGUGACUUUGCUUAAUGGUUGUUUUCCCAAAAACUGAGUGACUUGGUCGCCACGGUCGAUCUUCGGCCUCUUCCCCAUCACUUUCUACAUCAUAGCUGUCGCUAUCAUCAGUAUCUUCGGACAAACCUUCGAGAAUCUCCUUCGUGAUCUUCUCUGUAUUAGUCUCUGCCAUCGCUAUCAGGAACCCCAGAUUCUUCUCCUCCUCGAGACUCAGCUUCGUCUCAGCAGGGAUCUUCUUGUCUUCAGACAUCUUCGGAAACACUAAAAAUUUGUUCCCGAGGCCGAAGCUUCGAAGUCAAAAAGACCAGCAAAUCUCAAUGAACAAGAGCUAAAAAUUUUUAGUGGGCCGAAGCAAAAGGCAAGCGUGUGUACCAAAUGAAUUCACGAUGUGUUCUUAUUUAUACGCCUAGGGCGUUGAAAGUUAAAAGGCCCCGCUUGUCAGUGAAUGUUGCUAUUCUAGCAAGGGGAAGGUGUUUUUUCGGACCUUCGGCUCAAGGCCUUCGUCCGUAUCGCAAUCUGAAUUUAUUAUUUACAAAUUAAUAUUGCGAGGGGCUACUGUUGGGGGCCUUCGUCCUCCGAAGGUCCUCAAAAACAUGAUUUGACAAUGCUUUCCAAGUGAAUUAUAUGAACAGGUAUUUUCGGAUUCAGAAUUAUGGAUAUGGAGCACGACCAGGACGAAGGCUGAGCCAGGCGAAGGUCGAAGGCAGCCGAAGCUGUACGCAGGGAAGCUUCGGCGCGAUAGCACAAGGGGGAACCGACUUAAAGAUAAAAAGACUUCGGGGUCCUCAAUAGAUUUCUAUAAACCGUUAACAAAUGUAAUGGACAUGGAUGUAAUUUUACGAGGGCUGCGUCCCGCGUCUAUAAAUAGAUGAACAGUACUCCCGUACUGUUCACGCGGACUUGUCAUUUUGCUUUUGGUGUCACGCUUGUACUCUCCACCUUCUCUCAGGACCGAAGGUACAUUUGUAAUUUGAGAUCAUUUCUGUUUUUCCAUGUUAAUAAAAUAGAAAUGAUUCUUUGGUGAUGCUUAUAUCAUAUUUCAUGCUUUAUGUGAGUCCUUCGUCAUUACUUGCCAUGUUUACGAAGGUAUGUCCCUCAUGACCUUCGUCCGAGACUCAUUAUUUCCCGAGGGGAUAUAAUGCUUCGAAGGACGAAGGACCCUAACAUUUAACACUUUUUAUGUUGCCUUGUUCUUAACUCUAAGAAUUUGAGAACAAGUCUCCAACAGUCCUUAUAUCAUUUGUAAACAGUGUAUGUAAAACCUUGAUGGGCAUUAUUGUAAAUCUAUACAAAUGUGGUUCGUCUGCCCUAUAAAUAGAUGAACAGUGUCAUACAUAUAGUACCUUUUAAAGGGCCAUAGCUUCAUGUCGCUUAGCCUUCGAAGAACCUUUGUGCAUCCCUUUGUCCAAGAGCCGAAGGUAUGCUUGUAAAUUUAUCUAUUGUAGUGAAAGAUGUAAUAAGAAUGCUAAUACAAAAGGAGAUAAGUUCUCAAACAUUACUGUAUUGUUUCACCGUACAUCCUUUCCAUUACAUUUCUAUCUGAGGUCCUUCGUCCUUCGAAUUAACACUCCAAAGAAGGUGUUAUACUUAGGAAGAAGAUCUUUAUACCUAAUUUGUGUUGCUUUAAUUCUCAACGUCUCUAGGGGAUUGAAAUCAAGUACUCAACACAUACAUAAUAACUGCAACAUAACAACUAGGUAAUAUAGAAACUGUAUGAAACAUAUAUAAUAAGUGUACAAAACAUUCAUAUAUUAUACAAUUUCAUACAAGAAUAAAUUGAAGUUAUGAUCUUCGAUGUUCCAUCAUUGUGGGGGAAGCAUUUUUCAUCCUGCUUUCCCUUGACAUAUGUUGGGGGCUUGUUACUGCGUGUAGUGCGACAAACUGCAGAUGGUUGAGUGCCCGCAGGUGUAACAUGACACUUUUUCUUGUGGGAUUGGAUGGGGGAAUGUGGGGGUCAGCAAAUGAAAUGCGACGUUUGUCUUUUGGUGGAGGCAUACAAUCAUCAUCAGUACUUAUUGUUCCAAUAGGUGUAGCACGCACCUUUUGUUCUAGUUUUUUUUCUUCCACGACAAGCUAGCGCUUUCCUGCAACGACGGAGGUCUUGGGUUUUCUGAGGAUCCACAGGCUGCUUCACCUCUAGCUAUGUGUAUUCAUGCACUCCAGGUGAUUCUGGACUAAAGUUGACUCUAGUUGGACGAGGGAUGUCGACAGAAAAUACUUCCUAGCUUGACUCGAUUGUGAUUCACUUGGCGUUUGGUGGAGGACGGUCUACUGUCUUCAUGAUCUGCAUUUAUUGAACAAUACUUCCACUACAGUUGGGAUAAAAUGAUAUGGAUGCCAUAAUAAUAGGAAAACUAUUUGUUGGGGGCCUUCGGCUUCCGAAGGUCCUCAAAAACAUGAUUUAACAAUGUUUCUGGAGAAUGAUACAUGAACAGGUACCUUCGGAAUUAGGUCAAAACCACAGUCUGAAGAAGCACAAAGAAUACGAAGGAUGGCGCAGAGCCGAAGCUGUUCGCAGGAGAGCUUCGGCGUGAUAGCAGAAAAGGAAACUGACUUAAAGGGGGAAAGACUAUUUAGACCCCAAUGAAUUACUAUAGAGUUAUUAGCAAAUGUAAAGGGCAUGGGUGUAAUUUUACAUGGGCUGCGUCCCGUGCCUAUAAAUAGAUGAACAGUGCUCCCGUACUGUUCACGCUGACUUGGCAUUUGCUUUUGCGUCACAUUUGUACUUUUGUUCUCUUUUAAGCCGAAGGUACACUUGUAAUUUAAUGUCAUUUCUAUUCUAUGUUAAUAAAAUAGAAAUGAGUUAAUAAUAAUAUAUAAAUGUUCCUCAUAUCUUUCGUACAUCAUGCAUUUAACAUUUUCACUAUCAUAUGCCGUAAUGAUGAAGGUAUGUCCUUCAUGACCUUCGUCUGAAAAUCAUUAUCUCUCAAGGGAAAUAAUGCUUCGAAGGACGAAGGACUUUAAUAUUUAACAUUUUCUGUGUUGCCUUGUUCUUAACUGAUAGCAUUUGAGAACAAGUCCCCAACAUUGGCGCCCACCUCUGGUGAACCCUUUUUUGACCACCUUCGGCAAGCAUCGACCUUCGUCAUGCCGCCAAAGAAAGCUUCAGCAACAGGGCCUGCUGCUCUGCAGCCGCUGGACCCAAACCAGGAGACCCUUUCUCUUCGGGAAGCACGAAGCUAGAAGAGGAAUGCCACCAGUCCAACGCCUUAGGAGGAUGAUUUGGACCAAGAAAUUAGGAACAUGGAAAUGCUGCAUCAACAAGUGCAAAGGAAGAAAGAAAAGAUGGCCCGGCUAGCCGACCUAUAAAAGUAGAUAGACGAAGCCUCUAAAGAAGUUCGUCAUCUUACGCAAGAUGAGCAGAACCGGAGGCCCCAGUACAGAGAGCUUCACCAAGAGGGCUUCAUCAACGAGGAUGACUGGUAUGAGGAUUUCCAUCAGGCCCCGUUUGUUUCCUUUCAUUUCGAGGAAUUGGAAUCUUACUAAUGGAAUAAGCUAUUUUUUUAGAAUAUGACAUUCCACCACUUUCCAAAGUUAUCAUAUAAGCCUACCUCAAAUUCAUGGGUUGAGAUAUGGAAAUUGAUUCUAUAGAUUUACAUGUUAUUUUUCCGAUGUACAACUUAUAGCACAUUCUUCUACUUACGCCUCUAUAACAUAAAUGUAGUAUAUAACUAUCUCUCUCAUAUGAUUUAGGAUAAUAUACAAAUAUAUUACAUAUAUAAAUAUAUAAACUUAAUUAGUUUUGUCUAAAUUAUAAUUAUUAAAAUGGAAUUCAAUUCCAACGAAACAAACGGGCCCUCAUGGAAAUUUUGCUUUUGAUGAUGCUUGUCCUCUGUCAGCAGAACUGCAGGCUACACCUUGGCCCCCGUCUUACAAACCACCUCAGCUCCCAAUGUAUGACGGACACUCAGAUCCGAAGCAAUUUCUGAUGAGCUACGAAGCAACCAUAUCUUCAUAUGGUGGCAAUACUGCAGUCAUGGCGAAGUCCUUCGUCAUGGCAGUCAAAAGUGUUGAACAGACCUGGUACUCUUCUCUUCGGCCAGGGACAAUCACAUCGUGGCAAAAGCUGAAGGACGUGCUCAUCACCAGCUUUCAAGGGUUUCAGACGAAACCGGUCACUGCUCAAGCUUUGUUCCAGUGCUCUCAGGAUCAUGAAGAAUACCUUCAGGCGUAUGUCCGAAGGUUCUUACGACUGAGGGCGCAGGCGCCAACAGUGCCUAAUGAAAUUGUUAUCGAGGCCAUGAUUAAGGGGCUUCGGCCAGGACCUACAGCCCAAUAUUUCGCCAGGAAACCCCCUCAGACCCGGGAGAAACUGCUUCAGAAGAUGGAUGAAUAUAUCCGAGCAGAUAAUGACUUUCGGCAAAGGAGGGAGGAAGCUUACAGGUUCUCCGAAAUGACCAGGGGCUUCGGAGGGAGAAUCCACCCUAGGCACGUCAGAUCUAUCCAUUCUACUCAGACUGACGAUAGGGGGAGUCAGCAACAAAGGUCGCAGUAUUCCUCUCAAGCUUCGGGGCAGCAGCAGAACUAUCCUCGGCCUCCAGCUCCAAGGGGCAGAGGCGUCAGGGGCUUCGGAGAAAGGUUUGGGGAUCAGCCCAGGAAAAUUUACUACCUAUUCUGCGGUGAGGACAAGGGACAUACUACCAGGAUGUGCCAUGUCACCAUUCAAAAACAGAAAGAGAUAGCCGAAGCUGCAACACAACAGAGCCAGCCGAAGCAGGUUAUGCAUACUGCUUCGUACACCAUACAUCCCAGAGUAUGUGGGUAACCAUCCUGCAGUUUCUGUUGCUUCGGCAAGCAAACCUCAGGCAUCUUGGCAACAACCCCCACCUCCACCACCAAUGCAACUCGCUUAUCCCCAAGGCCAGCAGCCAGAAGGGAGCCAACAGCCAGAAGGGAGCCAGCACAAUCACCAGCAGAGAGACUUUAGGGAGCAGUCUGAAGCUCGCACAGUCAACAGUACUGUGCCAGAAUCAAAUCACAUCUACUAAGAUGUAUCCUACCUCUGAAACACCUUUUACAUUUGUUAUCAUUUACCUUUUCAAUAAAGAGCAAUCAUUGAGAUCUUAUUUCUUUUGUUGUUUUCAAUUUAUUGUAAUUGCUUUGUCAUUAUCAUAAUGAAUAUACCUUCUUCAAACAUCGACGAAGCUCUAAAGGUCUUGACGAAGGAAUGCAUUGCAAGUUUUUGUUGAAGCAACAAAAGUCGUUCUUAAGGGGACGCAGCGUAAGUUUUCUGCUCAAAAGUCGUUCCAAAGGGAAUGCAGAGCUUACAGCGAAAAAUAAACGCUGAUAUCGUCGAAAUAAAAGGCGAAGAAGCACCUAAGGGAGGCUUACAGCGAAAAAUAAACGCUGAUACCGCCGAAAUAAAAGGCGAAGAAGCUCCUAAGAGAGGCAUACAGCGAAAAAUAAACGCUGAUACCGCCGAAAUAAAAGGCGAAGAAGCUCCUAAGAGAGGCAUACAGCGAAAAAUAAACGCUGAUACCGCCGAAAUAAAAGGCGAAGAAGCUCCUAAGGGAGGCUUAUAGCGAAAAGUCAACGCUGAUACCACCGAAAAAUAAACGGCAAAAAGAUUGUGUGCUCCACUGGGGAAUGUGUGUGGGCCUUCGGCGCAAAUAUCAUUUUUGCAUGUCAUUACAUCAUUACAUCAUAUGCAUAGCAUAGCAUCAUACAUCAUAUUGCAUCAAUGGCACAAGAAGGGGAUGCAAUGUUAACCUUCGGAAAGGAAGACAAUGUUGACUUACAAUAUUGAGCUUCAGAGAUCGUUUCGAAGAAGUGCCAAGGCACAAAACAAGUUUUCAAGGAAUACAACUUCGUCAUUUUAAUAUGAAAAGGAGAUCCAUUGUUCACAAAGCAUAAUAUUUUUUCGGAAACUGUAUAUAUUUACGGAAUAUGGAUAUUCUUCAUGAAGCAUGAAAAGAAGGGAAGGUGUUUUUUCGCCGAAGGCUCAAAAACGGUAUGUACGUAAAGUUUCAUGCAUCGUAAAGAGUUGAAUUGUAAACAGCUUAUAUAUUACAUUCAUAAUUAUAAAAUAUUACACACAUUGUCCAGCAAAACAUUACAUUUCAAAUGUCUUCAAAAUAACAGCUAAUCUUCUCUUAAAACUACUUCGACAGCUUCGUUUAAUAGUUGAUCAACAACUUUAUCCAUAAUAACUUCGACCAUUUUCUAUUCGUCAUCCUCCUUUGCUUUGGGGUUCGCCAAUGGCUCGGCGGGCUCUGGGGGAGGAGAUAGUAAGGCUGUAAUGCAAACCAUAAAUAAGUUCGAAGUCAUAAAAUUAGAACAUAAAGUCAAAAGCUAUUAAUUAAUACCUAUUCGACUCUCAAGAUCCGCACUUUUCUCAGCGGCCUCUGCUACUUUUCUAGCAUCGUGAAUACCUUUUUCACUUUUCCUUAUAAUUUCUUGAGCCAUCUCCCGACCGCCAUUUUCCCAGAUGUCAGUGAAAAUUUUUCCACCAACCAAGCUUGCUUCGGCUGAGGGGUCUUUUAUACCAUCAAUGCAUAAGGCAACCUCGGUCUGUGCCAAGGAUUUCACAUGUUCGCAGCCUCUCCUCUCCAAGAUAGCGGCUAUUCCCCUAGCACCCGAGAAGGCGCAUAUGUCCCCACGGCCACUCAAAAUUUCUUCAAAAGCUUCGGCCUCGCCGUUGAUCCAGUCAAUUGGACCUUCGGGGUCUCCCAGUACGAAGUUGCCUUCAUUCGAAUAUGCGCCGACACUGGCGAAACUAGUCUUAAUUGUUUUCACACAUUUCAUGGAUUUUUCAUAACAUCUUUCUUUUGAAGACCGAAGUUCUGCAGUUGUUUUCUCCCAAUGAUUUUUCCAAUAAUCGCUGGCGUCUCGGUCAGCUUCGGCAAUUGUACACUUUAGUUUCGCUACAGCCAGCUGUUUCUGAAGAUUUUCAAUUUCACACUUCUAGGCUUCAGCUUGGGCCUUGGAAGCAGCUUCGUCUUCUUUUAUUUUACUAAGCAAUGAGUUUAAUAUUUUAUCUUUCUCAAGACCUUCGUUCCUUAGCUCAAUCACUUCGGAACGAAGGUUAUUCAACGCCAUGGUACAUCCCUCGUCUUCAGCGCUUUUCUGCGAUCUGAGGGCAUUGCUAAGAAUAAGGCCCUGUAAAAGGAAUAUGGUAUUAAAAAUAAGCACACAAAUUUUUAAGCAUACAGAAAGUUUAUUUUCUCACCUUUAAGCUGUUGUACGCCAAGCUGUCGGCCAAAUCAUCUUUUGACAACACUGAGAGCCCGUCUUCUAGUGUUGGGAAUCCGAAUCUUCUUGUCAUCUCCCGGCAGACAAAUAUCUCCUUGCUGUCUGGGAGACAGUAUAAGAAGUCUUCUUCUCCGCUGCCAUUGAAAAUCAACGCCCCCUUUGGAUAUUUCAAUUUUUGGGCAUAGAACUGAGCCUCUUGCUUUUCUUUUUCAGUCAACUUUUUCCCCGAAGCAUGUCGUAAAAUAUAAUUGAAAGCUUCGAAAAAUGCUUCGGGGGCGACAGUGCCAGUUUCUUCAGCCAAAAUUUGUUCUGCUACUUCUGUUUCUUUGGUUUCCAAGGAUUUCACAUUGGUGGGCUCUGAAGGACCAGCUUCAGUCUCAGCUUGGUGCUUUGUAGUUUCGGCACUAAAGGCUUCAAUUUGCACUUCGGGGGUUUCGACAAUUUUCUUCGUAGUAGUGCUUGAAGACUUUAUUGUCUCCAGCACAUCCAGAACGUUGACCAUUCUUUUUCUUUUGGGGUCACCGCUGGUCCUUUCUGAGUUUGUGGCGCUCCAACUUCUGCCGAAGGGCUUAAAAUAUCUGAUAUUUUUGUCCCUUCAGCUUUCAGCUCUUCAAUUCUUUCAGCCUUCGGUGUUGCAGUCAGCUCUUCAGUUUUCUGCGCAGGUAUAGGUUUUUUUGGCUUUAGUAGCCGAAGAAGCCUCGCCGACAAACUCGAGCACUAUAGCCGGUUCAAUAAAGCGCGGUCGGUGAGUAAGGACUUUUAUCCUUUUCCUCUUCGGCACAGGCUCGCUUGGAGCAGCUGAAGCAUCGUCUUUCCCGGAAGUUGCCUCUUUUCUCUUUCGCCCCCGUAAAGGGUAGCGGUAGUCAGGGUACACAAACCCAAUAGCAUCAAAAACUCGGUUUAAUCUUUUCUUCUUUCGGCCUCCGAAGGUCGCGGAUAACACAGUAUCUUCUGCCUUUGAGUAUGGCCCAAGCAAUUCAUCGCUUGUAGCUUUAAUACAUUUCAGCCAAUCAUCAUCUGGCUCGACAAAUUUACCCUCGUAUAUGAAGGUGAACUUCAUCCUAAUCAGUCCACCUUCGUCAGGCUUGGUGAUAGUUUCUUUUGGCAUUUCCCACUUUUCUACAAGUGGCCAAACUCUGAAAGCUAUGUGCUCUUGGACUAAAUCCCUCGUUCCGAUGAAAGAGCAGACUACGCCGAAGGCCCUCUGGCAUUCUUCGACUGCUUCGUCAACAAUCACCUUCGGCUUCCUAAGGCCGAAGCGCUGCCAGAUAGGACGCAUGAUAAUAUCUUUGAUGUCUUCUCGUGCCUUUAAAUCAUUUUUUACGUAAAACCAUUCCUUCAUCCAGUCCCCAGGCCAUCUUUUCUGGAAGGUUGGCACGGGACAGCUCGAGCCAGAGCGAGAGACGAAGAUAUAACAGCCAAAAUUGUUAUGAUAUUGCUCUUUGCCCCAGGGCUUUGUCUCAUAUAACAAUUCAUGCAUAUUGCAAAAGCUUUUUGUACUUGGCUCCAAGCCCUGGCUCCUCACGGCCCAGACGAAGAUUCUCAUUCUUAUGAUUGCUUCGGGCGUAAUUUGAUGAAGGAAGACUUGAUAGAUCUUUAAAACAUCAACCACAAAUUUGCUUAAUGGAAACCGAAGCCCAGCUUUAAAAAAGCUUCGGAAGAUCACAACUUCAUUCUCUUCGGGAGUAGGCACAGUCCUUUCUCCGUCAUCAGCCCUUACAGUAGACAUGUCCCGAAAAUAUCUUCCCCUCAUAUUAUCGAGAUGACUCUGUUUAAUAGUUGAUUUUCUAAAAACUGCAUGACUUGGUCGCCAGGGUCGAUCUUCGGAGUCUUCUCCGCCACUUUCCACAUCAUAACUGUCACUAUCACCAGUGUCUUCAGAUAAACCUUCUAAAAUCUCCCUGGUAAUCUUCUCUGUAUUUGUCUUUGCUAUCAAUUCAAUAAAGCCAAGAUUUUUCUCCUCAGAAAGGCUCGACUUCAUUUCAGCAAUAGCUUUUUUGUCUUGAGACAUCUUCGGAAAUGUUGAAAGCGUGCUCUUAAAAGCCGAAGCUAAAGAAAAUCUAAAAAGCCAGGCAAGCGUUGGUGUGCAAAGAACUAAAAAUUAGGAAGGCAAGAGCAGACGACAAUAAAGCGUGCUAAAUGUGCUCGCGGUGCGCUCUUAUUUAUACGCCCAAUACGUUGCAAGUGGCAGGGUCCCGCUUCUCAUUGACUAUUGUUAUUCUAGCAAAGGGAAGGUGUUUUUUCGGACCUUCGGCUUAAGGCCUUCGUCUAUAUCGUAAUCUGAAUUUAUCAUUCUAACAAAUUAAUAUUGCGAGGGGCUACUGUUGGGGGCCUUCGGCUUCCGAAGGUCCUCAAAAACAUGAUUUAACAAUGUUUCUGGAGAAUGAUACAUGAACAGGUACCUUCGGAAUUAGGUUAGAACCACAGUCUGAAGAAGCACAAAGAAUACGAAGGAUGGCGCAGAGCCGAAGCUGUUCGCAGGAGAGCUUCGGCGUGAUAGCAGAAAAGAAAACCGACUUAAAGGGGAAAAGGCUAUUUAGACCCCGAUGAAUUACUAUAGAGUUAUUAGCAAAUGUAAAGGGAUGAGUGUAAUUUUACAUGGGCUGCGUCCCGUGCCUAUAAAUAGAUGAACAGUGCUCACGUACUGUUCACGCUGACUUGACAUUUGCUUUUGCGUCACAUUUGUACUUUUGCUCUCUUUAAAGUCGAAGGUACACUUGUAAUUUAAUGUCAUUUCUAUUCUAUGUUAAUAAAAUAGAAAUGAGUUAAUAAUAAUAUAUAAAUGUUCAUGAUAUCUUUCGUACUUCAUGCAUUUAACAUUUUCACUAUCAUAUGCCGUAAUGAUGAAGGUAUGUCCUUCAUGACCUUCGUCUGAAAAUCAUUAUCUCUCAAGGGAAAUAAUGCUUCGAAGGACGAAUGACUUUAAUAUUUAACAUUUUCUGUGUUACCUUGUUCUUAACUGAUAGCAUUUGAGAACAAGUCCCCAACACUAUCAUUGAUUAGAUACAUUUAUAUUAGACAAAAUGUAUUCUCAAUGCAUAAUAAAAAGGACAUAAAUUUUUUGGUUCAGUGAAUGCAAUUCAAUUGUGCAUGACGUGUUUGUCUCUGACUGCAUGAAUCUAGAAUAAUUCCCAUAACAAAAAUGCUACAAAAAAUCACUUGAACGAGAAAAUUGUGCAUAUCUGAAAUAAAAAAUAGGAAACCCUAUCUUCGCAAUGAAUAGUGUGGAAACCCCAUCAAUUGCUCUAGGUAUAUAUAAACUACAUGAAUGAGUAUAUAUACUGUAAACCCUAACCAUAAACUAUUUUGGAAAAAAUCAAUACCAAGUGUACAAAAUUCACGUAAUUAAUUAGCUGAUAGACUUCAUUAAUCAUAAAACCAAACAUGCAUUGUUACUGUCGACACAAAACAAAAUAUAUGGGUGUUUUCUAGUUUGGGGAAAACUACAUAAUUGAAUGAUAGAUUUGGAUUUGUAUUUUAAUUUACCCAAAAAUACUUACCUGAUACUUAAUGACUAUAGUUUGGCCCAUGGUAUGUACACUACCGAUAAGUAUAUAUAUUGUAAACCUAACCAUAAAAAGUGGGGGAAUUGCAAAACCGAGUGAAAGCAAUUAAUUUGGUUGCUAUUUUUCGUUAAUCAUCAAACCAAACACACAUUGUUACUCCGCCACCCUAAUGAAACAAAAAAAGAGUAUUAAUCUCUAGGGCGGGAUGGGUUUUUCUAAAAAAACAACCGAAUCGAUGAAUAUGGGACUGAUUUGUGUUUCAGAUAGGUUGAAGUUAGGGUUUGGUGAUGGUGGCAAGCUUAGAAUAUAAUGGAGAAAAAAAUACCUUCAAUGCGCGCGGCUCAGUGGGCCUUAUUGCUCGGUGGGGGGUUGGGAUGAAAGGGUCGAUCAGCCUCAACCAGGGCUUCUCAGACGGCCUCCGAUGCUACAAUGCGCGUGGCUUGGAGGUUGAAGACGGUGGCGGAAGUCGAAUCGUCUGUCCGUCUCCUGGUCCAUCACCUGGUCGCAACCGCCUCCGACUGGGGUCGUGGCCUCGUGGGUUUGCAGCGAAUGGAAAGAAGGAAACCGCG
rnacentral:lncRNA from 1 species